UGCGAUUACCAACCCUUUAGAUUAGUGUAGUAAAUCAUGUAUUGAUAAUGUCAUCAAGGAGACGGAAAAUCCAGACAAUUUACAGUCAAAUUCAAAUAGACACCAGGAUAUAGAUAUUGAGGUUAAGGAGCGUGGUCUGUCUGAUACUUUCAGUAUUAGCGCCACCUCUAUCCUUGGUACCAAAAGCAGCAGAACCAAUUAAGAAAAGUAAACAAGUUGUUAAGGCCCCUUAUCUCUAUAAAAAAAAGGAGGCAUAAAAUUGCUGAAAAGAGUAAAAAAAAUAAUGAUGGCUAAUGUCUUAAGAUUUUUUAUUGCGAUUACCAACCCUUUAGAUUAGUGUAGUAAAUCAUGUAUUGAUAAUGUCAUCAAGGAGACGGAAAAUCCAGACAAUCUACAGUCAAAUUCAAAUAGACACCAGGAUAUAGAUAUUGAGAUAGGUUAAGGAGCCUGGUCUGUCUGAUACUUUCAGUAUUAGCGCCACCUCUAUCCUUGGUACCACCAGCAGUAGAAGCAAUUAAGAAAAGUAAACAAGUUGUUAAGGCCCCUUAUCUCUAUAAAAAAAAGGAGGCAUAAAAUUGCUGAAGAGUAAAAAAAUAAUGAUGGCUAAUGUCUUAAGAUUUUUUAUUGCGAUUACCAACCCUUUAGAUUAGUGUAGUAAAUAAUUUAUUGAUAAUGUCAUCAAGGAGACGGAAAAUCCAGACAAUCUACAGUCAAAUUAAAAUAGACACCAGGAUAUAGAUAUUGAGGUUAAGGAGCCUGGUCUGCCUGAUACUUUCAGUAUUAGCGCCACCUCUGUCCUUGGUACCACCAGCAGUAGAAGCAAUUAAGAAAAGUAAACAAGUUGUUAAGGCCCCUUAUCUCUAUAAAAAAAGGAGGCAUAAAAUUGCUGAAGAGUAAAAAAAUAAUGAUGGCUAAUGUCUUAAGAUUUUUUAUUGCGAUUACCAACCCUUUAGAUUGGUGUAGUAAAUCAUUUAUUGAUAAUGUCAUCAAGGAGACGGAAAAUUCAGACAAUCUACAGUCAAAUUAAAAUAGACACCAGGAUAUAGAUAUUCAGGUUAAGGAGCCUGGUCUGCCUGAUACUUUCAGUAUUAGCGCCACCCCUAUCCUUAGUACCACCAGCAGUAGAAGCAAUUAAGAAAAGUAAACAAGUUGUUAAGGCCCUUUAUCUCUAUAAAAAAAAUGGAGGCUUAAAAUUGCUGAAGAGUAAAAAAAUAAUGAUGGCUAAUGUCUUAAGAUUUUUUGUUGCGAUUACCAACCAUUUAGAUUAGUGUAGUAAAUCAUGUAUUGAUAAUGUCAUCAAGAAGACGGCAAAUCCAGACAAUCUACAGUCAAAUUCAACAAUAGACACCAGGAUAUAGAUAUUGAGGUUAAGGAGCCUGGUCUGCCUGAUACUUUCAGUAUUAGCGCCACCUCUAUCCUUGGUACCACCAGCAGUAGAAGCAAUUAAGAA